rnacentral:rRNA from 1 species
UGACCGAGCAACGCCGCGUGAGUGAAGAAGGUUUUCGGAUCGUAAGCUCUGUUGUAAGAGAAGAACGAGUGUGAGAGUGGAAAGUUCACACUGUGACGGUAUCUUACCAGAAAGGGACGGCUAACUACGUGCCAGCAGCCGCGGUAAUACGUAGGUCCCGAGCGUUAUCCGGAUUUAUUGGGCGUAAAGCGAGCGCAGGCGGUUAGAUAAGUCUGAAGUUAAAGGCUGUGGCUUAACCACAGUACGCUUUGGAAACUGUUUAACUUGAGUGCAGAAGGGGAGAGUGGAAUUCCAUGUGUAGCGGUGAAAUGCGUAGAUAUAUGGAGGAACACCGGUGGCGAAAGCGGCUCUCUGGUCUGUAACUGACGCUGAGGCUCGAAAGCGUGGGGAGCAAACAGGAUUAGAUACCCUGGUAGUCCACGCCGUAAACGAUGAGUGCUAGGUGUUGGGUCCUUUCCGGGACUCAGUGCCGCAGCAACGCAUUAAGCACUCCGCCCUGGGGAGUACGACCGCAAGGUUGAAACUCAAAGGAAUUGACGGGGGCCCGCACAAGCGGUGGAGCAUGUGGUUUAAUUCGAAGC